GAUAUUCACCGAGUUUAAUUGAAAAAAAAAAAAAAAAAAAAAGGUAGAGUCAACGGUCGGAAUUGCAGACGAAGACGAGGAGGCACGCCACUGGCAUCAUAUCGAAAGCAUGUUCAAUUUACCAACAGUGCGGAACAGCACUGUUUGUUUGAACAAAACAAACGGAUAUGUUAGCAUUCAAACGUCUAACAUGAGGAAAUAUGUUGCGGAACUGCAAACAAAACGACUCGCCGUGAGAACUUUUACAGCGGCACGAAGGCAGACGCAUGUUGUCAAGCUGUGACCAUCUGGAUCUGGAAAAAUCACCUAGUGUUGGAAAAAAACCCGGCUGAGCUACAGGGAGCAGGAGGAGCAGAAGACGAGUUGAAGCCAUGGCCGCAGGCUCCGGGGGUUAGCUCCAGGUCUUCUCCUCGGUAGA